rnacentral:misc_RNA from 1 species
CCCCCGUCGGUUUUGUUACCGGCGGCGGGUUGGACAUGGGUGCCUGCCUACCCUGGCUCACCUGAAAGAACUCAGUGAGACGAGCCCUCGGUGAGACGUAAUAAGAUUCCGUCUUCUUCUGGGGGAGAGCCUUGCCACCAACCCACCAUAACACCUUCAUCUCUGACCUCAAAUCAGGUAGGGCUACCCGCUGAACUUAA